rnacentral:pre_miRNA from 1 species
UUCAAGUAAUCCAGGAUAGGCUGUGUUACUCGUGGGCCUUUCCUCGGUUGCUUGAUCC